rnacentral:rRNA from 1 species
AACAAACGCUGGCGGCGUGCCUAAUACAUGCAAGUCGAUCGGGGAAAGCUUUCGGGUGAGUACUAGUGGCGCACGGGUGAGGAACGCGUGGAUAAUCUGCCUUAGAGUGGGGGAUAACUAGUCGAAAGAUUAGCUAAUACCGCAUAAGACCACAGGAGCUGCGGCUCAAGGGGUCAAAGGUUUUUCGCUCUAAGAUGAGUCCGCGUAAGAUUAGCUAGUUGGUGAGGUAACGGCUCACCAAGGCGACGAUCUUUAACUGGUCUGAGAGGAUGAUCAGUCACACUGGAACUGAGACACGGUCCAGACUCCUACGGGAGGCAGCAGUAGGGAAUAUUGCACAAUGGAGGAAACUCUGAUGCAGCGACGCCGCGUGAGUGAUGAAGGCCUUCGGGUCGUAAAGCUCUGUCGCAGGGGAAUAACACAAUGAAUGUACCCUGUAAGAAAGGAUCGGCUAACUUCGUGCCAGCAGCCGCCGUAAGAC